AGAAAUUAUAUAAUAAUUUACGUUGAUACUUACAUUGAACAACAAAUAAAAAUCUUUCAAAAGCAAGGAAGCAUUUCGAGUGCGGUCGGUAGUCUUGAGAUGUAGAUUCUUACCAAAAAUGUGAUUUUCUUGUAUUUAAAAGAUUUACAGGUAAAAUUGAUGCGUUGGGGUAGAUUAUACAGGUGAAUCAAAGUAUUAAUCGGAAUCUAGAUAACAAUGAAUUGAAAUAAAAACAUUGAAAGGUGUCAAAUUAAUUUUUUAAUCAUGCCAUCCAUAACUUAUUUCACUUCUGGUAAGUUUUUAUAAUUAGUAUCACUCUAACAUCACAAAUACUACAUUGAUACUUUGACUCAGCCUGUUUAAGAAGAAAAAAAUGUACAAUAAAAAAUAAUUGCAUGUUUUGAAUUUGCGUAGUAUUAACUGCUUUUAUAGCUUGUGUUACUAAUUUCUACUAAUGAUACUAAUGAUAUGAAACAAUAUAUACAAUAGCAAAUUAUAUAUCAUAUCGCUAGCCUCUUUGGAUAGAGUCUACAAAAAAUACUUGAAUUUUACAUGAUCAUGAGUUGCACUUUUCUGUGACUACAAAUUUGUAUGUAAUCCCUAAUUUUAUCCAUAAACCUUUACAAACCCACUCAAUAAUUGUCUUACCUUGUAUCCAAUUAUUUGCAAAUAUUUUACGAUAGGAUAUGAUUCAGUGUUAAUCCUAGAGAAUUGAAUUCCGUUGAAAAGCCGGAACCAGGAAAUAAGGCAGUGUGAUUUGAAUGAAAUUGUCACAAACGAUCUUCAAGAUCAUCAUUUAACGCCGUAACAAAUAGUUACCGCCGAAAUCUUAACACCCGUAAUUCGUUAAUCGCAACUCACGAGGCUAUUGUCUUAGGUUGUCAACUACGUCUUGCAUGCGUACUACGACGUGUCAAUUGUAGGAUAUCCUGGAGUCAAAGAAACGACUUGGGCCACCCUGAAGAAAUCGAUUGUCAAACCAACCUAACUCACCAGAAUGAAAUAAUCGCGAUAACGACACAAGCAGUAAUAAGGCAUUUUGAAUUAAUUGUUGCUAAUCUAUUCAGGUCUUAGGUUGAAACCUUCUUGGCAGUAGCACUAGUAUAAGGUUAAUCGAUAUCUUGGAGAUCAAACGAUUCUUGCGAAAUUCGAUGAUGAAAGGAACACCUUAUUCUAUUGGGCUAAUAACCUCCGUGCCAUAUCCAACGAAUUGGUUUGUUGUAAAAACCUGAUUAAAGAAAAUGGCAAGACACAUCCGCAUUAAUGAGCAGCUAUAUUUCAGACUCGUUCCACUUAUCAUGUCUUGAUCACGUUUAUCAAAGAAGAAAACUUCACAGUAUUGGGAUGUGUUGCAGCAGAAACUGCUCACAGCCAUAUCUUAAAGAUUUUAAGCAAAGACAUAUUCGGCUGCUAUAUAUCACACUCGUAAGUGAUAAAACAUCACAACUUUGAGUCGUGGAGCAGCGAAAACCGCUUGUGGCUGAGAUGAUAGAUAAAGAAGAAAGAUAAAACUUCGUGGUUUCGAGAUGUAUUAAUCGCAGAGGUCUCUUACGGUUGAGGCGGUAUUUUUGGAGAUUCAUUAUAUCUUGAAGAUUUCAAACAUACAUAUUCUGCUUUUAAAUUUAUUAAAAUGUUUAGAUUCGCUCAAUAAAGAUUAUGAGAAGUUCUAAAAAUAACAUAUAAACCCUAAGUUAUCUCCCAAUUCACAAAGAAUUCAACCUUGAAUAUGUUCUUUUAAUCAAAUAUUAAAAUUUUUUUAUUUAACAAAAUAUAAUUACACGAAAAUCAUAAACUUAAAUUUUUUAAUAAAUCGUUUUAAUUUUGUUGAGUCAUGACUCUCAUUAUUUGGUGCUAAUAAUAACCUUGGUUGAUCGCAUCGUGACUAUAUUCCACGCCCUACGUAAAUGUGAUUGGAGAAUAGUAAAAUCGAACAAUGACGAGUAUUCACGCCGCAAAUAUAAACGAGAUAUACGACGUUCCUUUAAGCGCAUUAAUUCGGCCGUUUCCGCCGGAAGUAAACGAAGAAAAAGUGAAAUCUUUAAUGGAAGCAAUUUCGAACCCGGAAACGAUCGAUCAAGUAACUCCAAUCGAUGUUUUAUGGAUUGUUGGGAAAGAAGGAGGGAAUUAUUAUUACAGUUUUGGUGGAUGUCAUAGAUAUAUUGCUCAUAAACGCUUAAAUACAGAAACGAUUCGAGCUAAACUAAUAAAAUCUAAUAUUAGCGAUCUUAGAUGUUAUUUAGGUGCGAGUACUCCAGAUUUACGUUAAUAAUAAGAUGUAUUAAGAAAACAUUCUGGUCAUAUUCUGGUUAAUGGGAAUGCUUUGACUUUUUUUUUAAGUUUUAUAAACUUUGUGUUGAAAUAAAAAAAUAUUUUGCAGUAAGAAA
rnacentral:misc_RNA from 1 species